rnacentral:rRNA from 1 species
ACGGAGGGUGCGAGCGUUGUCCGGAAUCGCUGGGCGUAAAGGGCGCGUAGGCGGCAUGCCAAGCGUGUGGUGAAAGCCCGGGGCUCAACCCCGGGUCGGCCGUGCGGACUGGCGUGCUCGAGCACUGUAGGGGCGGGUGGAAUUCCGGGUGUAGCGGUGGAAUGCGUAGAGAUGCGGAGGAACACCGAUGGCGAAGGCAGCCCCCUGGGCUAGCACUGACGCUCAGGCACGAAAGCGUGGGGAGCAAACAGGA